UACGUAGGGGGCAAGCGUUGUCCGGAAUCAUUGGGCGUAAAGCGCGUGUAGGCGGCCCGGUAAGUCCGCUGUGAAAGUCCAGGGCUCAACCCUGGGAUGCCGGUGGAUACUGUCGGGCUCGAGUCCGGAAGAGGCGAGUGGAAUUCCUGGUGUAGCGGUGAAAUGCGCAGAUAUCAGGAGGAACACCGAUGGCGAAGGCAGCUCGCUGGACGUGACUGACGCUGAGACGCGAAAGCGUGGGAGCAAACAGG
rnacentral:rRNA from 1 species